ACGACCUUACUUGAACAGGAUUUGUUUUAUAGGCUCGUACCGCUGUAUCCUUUACCAAUAAGGAGGCAAGCACUUCAGUUUGGUUGAUGCAUUCUGACCUCUGGGUGCGCCACUAGAAUAUUUUAGUAAAGGCGCAUCAUUAAUAAUUGGUAUACUAAUGGCGCACCAGAUGGAAGUGCGCCAU
rnacentral:snoRNA from 1 species